rnacentral:rRNA from 1 species
GAUGAACGCUAGCGGCAGGCCUAAUACAUGCAAGUCGUACGGCAACACAGUUGCGAGCAAUCGCAACCGGUGGCGAGUGGCGCACGGGUGAGUAACGCGUAUGUAACCUACCCUUCUCCGGGACAUAACUCCGCGAAAGCGGUGCUAAUAUCCCAUACCAACUCAUCAAGACAUCUUCUUGAGUUGAAAGCAGCAAUGCGGUGAAGGAUGGGCAUGCGUCCCAUUAGCUGGCUGGUGGGGUAACGGCCCACCAGGGCGACGAUGGCUAGGGGGUCUGAGAGGACGAUCCCCCACACUGGUACUGAGACACGGACCAGACUCCUACGGGAGGCAGCAGUGAGGAAUAUUGGUCAAUGGGCGGAAGCCUGAACCAGCCAUGCCGCGUGCAGGAUGACGGCCCUACGGGUUUAAACUGCUUUUCCAGGGGGAAAACUUUCCGAUGCAUCGGGAUUUGACGGUACCCUGGGAAUAAGCAUCGGCUAACUCCG